UGGUCUGCCUUUUCCUCCUCCCCGCUGUCUCCGGAUCUGAGAAGCCAGUGAGCGAGAACCUACAGAACUGACCCAGGAGUCAGAAGCUAUGAGCCACUUUGGAAAACAGCGUGGCCAUUUCCUGAAAAGCCCCAAACUGGAAACAACCUUAAAAUCCAUCAACAGGCGGAUGGUGAAGCCAAGCACAGAGCGUCCACACCACAGGAGGCAACUCAGAGCCCCACAGGAGUCGCUAUGGACACACGCACCGUCUGGGGCAGCCUCAAAAUUAUGUGGCUUAGUGAAGCCCAGACCCCUCCAAGGUACCUGCUGUGCGAUUCCAGAUAUAUAAAAGCCUAGAAAAUGUAAGCCAAGGCCAGGUGCGGUGGCUCACACCUGUAAUCCUAGCACUUUGGGAGGCUGAGAUGGGUGGAUCAUCUGAGGUCAGGAGUUCAAGACCAGCCUGACCAACAUGGAGAAACCCUGGCUCUACUAAACAUGCAAAAUAAGCCGGGUGUGGUGGCGGGUGCCUGUAGUCCCAGCUACUCAGGAGGCUGAGGCAGGAGGAUUGCUUGAACCCGGGAGGUGGAGGUUGCAGUGAGCUGAGAUCACACCACUGCACUACAGGCUGGGUGACAAGAGCGAAACUCUGUCUCAAAAAAAAGAAAGAAAGAAAGAAAGAAAGAAAAGAAAAUGUAAGCUGAAUCCUCAGUGACAGGAAACAGAUGGGCUGUUGCCUGGGGAAAGUGGGAACACAAAGGAGCGUGAAGGAAUUGGGGAUGAGGGGUCCUUCAUCACUCGAUGGUGGUGGUGGCUUCAUUGGUGGACACAAGGGGUCCUCAAUCAGGGAUUAUUUUGCCCCUCACAGACUAAUUAGACCCCUGGCAUCUAGUGUAUAGAGGCCAGGGAUGAGGCUAAACAUCCUGCAGUCCACAAGACACCCCCCGCCCCCCAAAAACAAUUAGCCCCAAAUGCCAGUGGGGCUGAGGCUGAAAAACCUGGGUGUAUACAUGCUUCACAACUUACAUAAUUGCACACUAUUUAUGUAUGUAUGUACAUAUGUAUUUAUUUUGAGACAGAGUCUUGCUCUGUUACCAAGGUUGGAGUGUAGUGGUGCAAUCUCGGCUCACUGCAACUUCCGGCCCCUGGGUUCAAGGGAUCCUCUGUCUCAGCCUCCCAAGUAGCUGGGACCACAGUCAUGUGCCCCCAUGCCCAGCUAAUUUUGUAUUUUCAGUAGAGACAGGGUUUUGCCAUGUUGGCCAGGCUGGUCUCGAACUCCUGACCUCAGGUGAUCCACCCGCCUCGGCCUCCCAAAGUGCUGGGAUUACAGACGUGAGCCACUGCGACUGGCCCAGCAUUGCACGCUUAAAAUACGGGCAGUUUACUGUACGUCAAU
rnacentral:lncRNA from 1 species